rnacentral:rRNA from 1 species
AUUGAACGCUGGCGGCAGGCUUAACACAUGCAAGUCGAGCGGGGUGAUGGUGCUUGCACUAUCACUUAGCGGCGGACGGGUGAGUAAUGCUUAGGAAUCUGCCUAUUAGUGGGGGACAACAUCUCGAAAGGGAUGCUAAUACCGCAUACGUCCUACGGGAGAAAGCAGGGGAUCACUUGUGACCUUGCGCUAAUAGAUGAGCCUAAGUCGGAUUAGCUAGUUGGUGGGGUAAAGGCCUACCAAGGCGACGAUCUGUAGCGGGUCUGAGAGGAUGAUCCGCAACACUGGGACUGAGACACGGCCCAGACUCCUACGGGAGGCAGCAGUGGGGAAUAUUGGACAAUGGGGGGAACCCUGAUCCAGCCAUGCAGCGUGUGUGAAGAAGGACUUAUGGUUGUAAAGCACUUUAAGCGAGGAGGAGGCUUACCUAGUUAAUACCUGGGAUAAGUGGACGUUACUCGCAGAAUAAGCACCGGCUAACUCUGUGCCAGCCGCCGCAGUAAAAC